GGGCCUAAUCCCCGGGCCCGGGAAUAUGACCCACCUUUGUGACAGAACAGAUUGUAGGGAUGCGAUUAGCUUUGAGACUGGGUGGGGCGGGAACAGUCCGAAUUAUCCAGGUGCGCCUAAUGUAAUCUAAAGGCUCUUAUGGAGAGGAGUUACAUUAUCAACUGACACUAAACUGGUGGCUUUGAAAAUGGAGAGGUGAAGUGGCUCAGUCGUGUCCGACUCUUUGCGACCCCGUGGACUGUAGCUUUCAAGGCUCCUCUGCCCGUGGAAUUUCCAGGCAAGAGUACUGGAGUGGGUUGCCAUUUGCUUCUCCAGGGGAUAUUCCCGACCCAAGGAUCGAACCCGAGUCUCCCGCAUUACGGGCAGACACUUUACCGUCUGAGCCACCAGGGAAGCCACCUGAAAGUGGAGAAACGGACCACAAAGCAAGGGCAGGUUGCUUUCAAGAGGUUCUCUCUAUACCUACUCGUGAAGAAACAAAAGGUCAUAAAAGGAUCCUCCGGCUCAGAGAAAGGAAAACCGAAAUACCAAAAAUCCUGCUUGUUGGAUCUUACCUCCCUAGAUCAAACCUGAGCCCUCAACAGUGAAAGCGCCAAGUUCUAACCACUGGACCGUCAGGGAGUUGCCUAGUGGUGCUUUCUUAAAUAACACAGAGCCCUUCACAAGAUACUGACACCCCCACUAGGUGGAAGACGUUAACGGCACUCUGACCACAAGUACAGAGACUCCAUACAGGUUGGAACCAGAAGGCUGAUGAUGUUGACUCCAAAUUACCUCAGCACCAACCAAUGAGAAUGAAAUCCAUGAGCUGAUCAAGUACCACACAACUCUCUCCCUCACCCUGUGGUUAACCCACAGGGAAGUCUGGGUCUUCUGAGAAUUAGUUGCCCGUAGUCCUUGCUUGACCUUGCAAUAAAUGCUGUACUUUCCUUCAGCACAA